rnacentral:rRNA from 1 species
CCUACGUGUGGCAGCAGUGGGGAAUAUUGCACAAUGGGGGAAACCCUGAUGCAGCGACGCCGCGUGAGUGAAGAAGUCUUUCGGUAUGUAAAGCUCUAUCAGCAGGGAAGAAAAUAACGGUACCUGAUGAAGAAGCCCCGGCUAACUACGUGCCAGCAGCCGCGGUAAUCCGUAGGGGGCAAGCGUUAACCGGAUUUACUGGGUGUAAAGGGAGCGUAGACGGCAGCGCAAGUCUGAAGUGAAAUGCCGGGGCUUAACCCCGGAACUGCUUUGGAAACUGUGCAGCUAGAGUGCAGGAGAGGUAAGUGGAAUUCCUAGUGUAGCGGUGAAAUGCGUAGAUAUUAGGAGGAACACUAGUGGCGAAGGCGGCUUACUGGACUGUAACUGACGUUGAGGCUCGAAAGCGUGGGGAGCAAAAAGGAUUAGAUACCCCAGUAGUC